AUUGAACGCUGGCGGCAGGCCUAACACAUGCAAGUCGAGCGGAUGAGGGGAGCUUGCUCCUCGAUUCAGCGGCGGACGGGUGAGUAAUGCCUAGGAAUCUGCCUAGUAGUGGGGGACAACGUUUCGAAAGGAACGCUAAUACCGCAUACGUCCUACGGGAGAAAGUGGGGGAUCUUCGGACCUCACGCUAUUAGAUGAGCCUAGGUCGGAUUAGCUAGUUGGUAGGGUAACGGCCUACCAAGGCGACGAUCCGUAACUGGUCUGAGAGGAUGAUCAGUCACACUGGAACUGAGACACGGUCCAGACUCCUACGGGAGGCAGCAGUGGGGAAUAUUGGACAAUGGGCGAAAGCCUGAUCCAGCCAUGCCGCGUGUGUGAAGAAGGCCCUCGGGUCGUAAAGCACUUUAAGUUGGGAGGAAGGGCUUACAGCGAAUACCUGUGAGUUCUGACGUUACCGACAGAAUAAGCACCGGCUAACUUCGUGCCAGCAGCCGCGGUAA
rnacentral:rRNA from 1 species